AGAGAGCAGCAGUUUCAGAGCAAUGCAAUUUUGAAAAAGGGCCAUUUGAAUUGUGAAAACAGUGCUACCAUGGAACAUUGAUAGGUUGUACAGCACCGAUGCUCUCAGUGCUUGUUUUGGCAUUGAUUUGCGAGAACUAAGCACCAUGUUGCAUCAUCGAGGAGCUACAACAACAGUUAAUCAGGAACUAUCCUGAAAGUCGUACUAGAGCACUAGACUAAUCCAAGGUUCUCUUGCGACUUUGGAGUUGUACAUUUUUAACCUUGUCGAAUCCUCCCUGUGUUUAUGCAAAGUUCGUACAUGGGGAUCUUGUGUGGCAUCUUCUGACUGUACAUCAUGCAUAAAUCUGGUGUUGUCAUGCUUGCUCUGGUUGGUUCAGAGAUACUUUGCAGUUACAUUUUGAUGGUCACUCAACAACACUGGCUGGUGUACUUAGCUUAUUUGGCUGUGAGGAUCAUAAUGGUGGUAUAUUGCUGAUUUGCUACUGAAUAUCAGGUUUGCAGUUUUUUCAGUU